UCCCCAUGUGGCUGGAACCCAAGGUGGCUCUCUCAUUCUGGAGGUGGGCUGUGGGUCAGGAGCUGUUUUGCUCAGCCUGUUGAAGCAGCUUCAUGAGAGCCAAGUCAUUGCUGUGGAUCAGGACAAAGCCUCCAUCAGACUGACCCAGAACAAUGCUCAAAGAUAGGCUUUAUCUGUUGCAGGACAGAAUUCGGAUCAUCCCCCUGGAUGUGACCUUAGGUACCCUCCCUCAUCCACCUCCCUUGGGGUCAAGAUCCUGGAUGCACUCCCUGCUGGGAGGAGGAGGCAUCACAGAG